rnacentral:rRNA from 1 species
AUGUCUAGUAUAAGCAUUAUACCGUGAAACUGCGAAUGGCUCAUUAAAUCAGUUAUCGUUUAUUUGAUAAUACCUUACUACUUGGAUAACCGUGGUAAUUCUAGAGCUAAUACAUGCUGAAAAUCCCGACUUCGGAAGGGAUGUGUUUAUUAGAUAAAAAACCAAUGCCCUUCGGGGCUUUUUGGUGAUUCAUGAUAACUUUACGGAUCGCAUAGCCUUGCGCUGGCGACGGUUCAUUCAAAUUUCUGCCCUAUCAACUUUCGAUGGUAAGGUAUUGGCUUACCAUGGUUUCAACGGGUAACGGGGAAUUAGGGUUCGAUUCCGGAGAGGGAGCCUGAGAAACGGCUACCACAUCCAAGGAAGGCAGCAGGCGCGCAAAUUACCCAAUCCCGACACGGGGAGGUAGUGACAAUAAAUACUGAUACAGGGCUCUUUUGGGUCUUGUAAUUGGAAUGAGUACAAUUUAAACCUCUUAACGAGGAACAAUUGGAGGGCAAGUCUGGUGCCAGCAGCCGCGGUAAUUCCAGCUCCAAUAGCGUAUAUUAAAGUUGUUGCAGUUAAAAAGCUCGUAGUUGAAACUUGGGUCUGGCUGGCGGGUCCGCCUCACCGCGUGCACUCGUCCGGCCGGGCCUUCCUUCUGAAGAACCUCAUGCCCUUCACUGGGCGUGUUGGGGAAUCAGGACUUUUACUUUGAAAAAAUUAGAGUGUUCAAAGCAGGCCUUUGCUCGAAUACGUUAGCAUGGAAUAAUAAAAUAGGGCGUGCGUUUCUAUUUUGUUGGUUUCUAGAGACGCCGCAAUGAUUAACAGGAACAGUCGGGGGCAUCAGUAUUCAGUUGUCAGAGGUGAAAUUCUUGGAUUUACUGAAGACUA